rnacentral:rRNA from 1 species
GAUGAACGCUGGCGGCGUGCCUAAUACAUGCAAGUCGAGCGAACAGACGAGGAGCUUGCUCCUCUGACGUUAGCGGCGGACGGGUGAGUAACACGUGGAUAACCUACCUAUAAGACUGGGAUAACUUCGGGAAACCGGAGCUAAUACCGGAUAAUAUAUUGAACCGCAUGGUUCAAUAGUGAAAGACGGUUUUGCUGUCACUUAUAGAUGGAUCCGCGCCGCAUUAGCUAGUUGGUAAGGUAACGGCUUACCAAGGCGACGAUGCGUAGCCGACCUGAGAGAGUGACCGGCCACACUGGAACUGAGACACGGUCCAGACUCCUACGGGAGGCAGCAGUAGGGAAUCGUCCGCAAUGGGCGAAAGCCUGACGGAGCAACGCCGCGUGAGUGAUGAAGGUCUUCGGAUCGUAAAACUCUGUUAUUAGGGAAGAACAAAUGUGUAAGUAACUAUGCACGUCUUGACGGUACCUAAUCAGAAAGCCACGGCUAACUACGUG